rnacentral:rRNA from 1 species
AUUGAACGCUGGCGGCAGGCCUAACACAUGCAAGUCGAGCGAGCGGCGGACGGGUGAUUAAUGUCUGGGAAACUGCCUGAUGGAGGGGGAUAACGUCCGGAAACGGGCGCUAAUACCGCAUACUAUCAGAUGAGCCUAGGUCGGAUUAGCUAGUUGGUGGGGUAAAGGCCUACCAAGGCGACGAUCCCUAGCUGGUCUGAGAGGAUGACCAGCCACACUGGAACUGAGACACGGUCCAGACUCCUACGGGAGGCAGCAGUGGGGAAUAUUGCACAAUGGGCGCAAGCCUGAUGCAGCCAUGCCGCGUGUGUGAAGAAGGCCUUCGGGUUGUAAAGCACUUUCAGCGGGGAGGCGUUACCCGCAGAAGAAGCACCGGCUAACUCCGUGCCAGCCGCCGCGGUAAUUC